rfam:Daphnia pulex DAPPTscaffold_624_Cont10342, whole genome shotgun sequence.
GCAUCGAUGGUUCAGUGGUAGAAUGCUCGCCUGCCAUGCGGGCGGCCCGGGUUCGAUUCCCGAUCGAUGCA